rnacentral:lncRNA from 1 species
CUCUGAGACUGCCCACAGGAGUCUACCCUUCUCCAGUGGGGCUUUGCUGGUGGGCAGAACAUGGGCCUGCGAAUCACCCUUCUACACUGUCACCAACGCACCUACACCCCGGCAGGAGGCAAGUUAGUUGCUCUAAGUGCAUGUGGCCAAAGCUGUUGAUGGUGCUGUUCCAGAAAUAUCACCUAAGAAUCCUAAAUGAUUCAUUAAAGAAAACAUGGCAUUAUGAACAAGAGUCCAUCAAAGGAAAGCUGCAAAUGGCAUCCCAUUCAAAAAGUCCACAUGCCACUGCAUUUUGCCACCCUGAGGCAAAAUGUCCCUGAAGUGUUCUCUGGGGAACCUCCAGCACCUUGCACAGUGCCUGACACACAGCAGGGGCCUCAUAAAUGGCUGUUAAUAAGUGAUAAAACCCACCCAAGACUGCUUUUCUUGCUGCUUUUGAUAAAACUCAUAAGCGAACUCUGAGUGACAGCUGCUUUCUUUGCCUCGUCCUGCUCCCUGUAGCUACCUCUGUGCCUCCAUCCCACAGUUAGAUGCAACAUCCCUGAUUUCCAGGAUCAGCUUAGUUCAUGCCAUUGACCCUUGAUUUUUUUGGUCUAUUCCCAUGUUCACCAGGAAGAGAAGCAUGAGGUUACAUCUGUAAUCUCCCUGCAGCAGAGUCAACUGCAUAAGAAACCAAAAGACACACCUGCUCCAUGCCAGCUUCGAUAAUUUCUUUGUACCUUCGGCGAAAGAAGCCCAUCUGAAAGGCAGAAAGAAAGAGAAGCUGAGUUAGAAGUGCUGAAGAAUCAGCCAUUGUGACCCCAAGGCAGUCUGUCCCUGGGUAGGUGUGACCUGCACUCACAGGGCUGGGGAGGCUUGGAGGACCCCUCGGAUUAGAGAAAACACUGGCAAGAAAAACAUCCUGUGGAGACAUUUUUCAAAAUGCAUGGACUUCCUGCGGGUGAUAUUACGUAAGCUGUUUGUUCCUUCUAAAAUGCAUCUGGUGUAGUGUUUUCCAGACUGUGUGCUGGGGAAUACCAGUUACUGAGAGCUGUUCAAAGGUGUUUGGGAGUAAAAAAAGGUUUCAUGGCUGGGCGCAGUGGCUCACGCCUGUAAUCCCAGCACUUUGGGAGGCUGAG